rnacentral:rRNA from 1 species
GACGAACGCUGGCGGCGUGCUUAACACAUGCAAGUCGAACGGAAAGGCCCUGCUUUUGUGGGGUGCUCGAGUGGCGAACGGGUGAGUAACACGUGAGUAACCUGCCCUUGACUUUGGGAUAACUUCAGGAAACUGGGGCUAAUACCGGAUAGGAGCUCCUGCUGCAUGGUGGGGGUUGGAAAGUUUCGGCGGUUGUGGAUGGACUCGCGGCUUAUCAGCUUGAUGGUGGGGUAGUGGCUUACCAAGGGUUUGACGGGUAGCCGGCAUGAGAGGGUGACCGGCCACAUUGGGACUGAGAGACGGCGCAGACUCCUACGGGAGGCAGCAGUGGGGAAUAUUGCACAAUGGGCGGAAGCCUGAUGCAGCAACGCCGCGUGCGGGAUGACGGCCUUCGGGUUGUAAACCGCUUUCGCCUGUGACGAAGCGUGAGUGACGGUAAUGGGUAAAGAAGCCCCGGCUAACUACGUG